GAGGAAUAUUGGUCAAUGGGUGCAAGCCUGAACCAGCCAUCCCGCGUGAAGGACGACUGCCCUAUGGGUUGUAAACUUCUUUUGUAUAGGGAUAAACCUACCCUCGUGAGGGUAGCUGAAGGUACUAUACGAAUAAGCACCGGCUAACUCCGUGCCAGCAGCCGCGGUAAUACGGAGGGUGCAAGCGUUAUCCGGAUUUAUUGGGUUUAAAGGGUCCGUAGGCGGACUUAUAAGUCAGUGGUGAAAGCCUGUCGCUUAACGAUAGAACCGCCAUUGAUACUGUAAGUCUUGAGUAUAUUUGAGGUAGCUGGAAUAAGUAGUGUAGCGGUGAAAUGCAUAGAUAUUACUUAGAACACCAAUUGCGAAGGCAGGUUACCAAGAUAUAACUGACGCUGAGGGACGAAAGCGUGGGGAGCGAACA
rnacentral:rRNA from 1 species